UUUCCACAGGUCUCCCGCAGCAUUCCCUCUGAAAGCCAUCUAGUCGUGACUGUGCGGGUCUCAUGACUGGACAUUGCCCUGUCUUAAAGGAUUUUAGCUAGAGAAAAUCAGAACAGAAGAGCUAAAGCCUGGAGUGUUAUUUUCUGACUCUGUGAAAUGUUCAGGGCAAGAAAAACCCCUCGUGCUGAGAGACAGCAGUGGUUCUAUGGUGCAUUGGUGUUGGGGAGCCAUGGCCUGACUUCUCAGCAUCUGCCUGCUCCUCUGUUCCAGCCUCUCCCCCCAACAUUGAGUUAAAGAGGUGGGUGCACACCCCACCUUCCCAUUGGUGACCACACCUGCUUUCCCACUGAAGAAGUAGAAUUUGAAUUCCUUUGGCAUUUGGAUUGUCUUUCCAAAAUCAGAUUUAAGUCCCACAACCAGGAGAAGAGUCUGUGCUCCACGGAUGUUCCGAAGUAGUUGAAAGCGCGAGUUCUCAAGCAGUGACUGAGAGCGUUAAUGGGGUUUUAUCUCACUUAAGAGUGUGCUGAAAACUACAGAUUCAAAAGGGAGACAACAGGAACAGAAGUGCAUCCUUAGCUUCCGGGAACUGAACAUGUCCAACCAGAGAACUGAGGCGAGUGUGUCCAGCUCCCCCUCCCCCAGCUAGGAAAUCCUUCAGCGCCUGCAUGUGUGACACAGAUUCUAGGAUCCCGUCGCCGGAAGUUACAUCAGGACCCAGAGAGCAAAUUGUGGCAGGAGAAGGCCCUCAAAUAUCUUUAGCACUUAGUGGUUGUAUGGCCUCAUUUAUAAGGAGGAAGAAGAGGUAGCAAGUGGGGGUGGGGAGAACCCCUAAGGGGUUUUAGAGUGGCCUUUCUUCUCAUUGAAAAUCAAAAUGAAGAUUACCCUUGUCACAUGUUUAAGGUGUACCCAUGAAGACUUCUAAUCAGUAGGAUCAUUGAC
rnacentral:lncRNA from 1 species